GGCUGCGAUCUGGGCUAUCGGAUCGUGCAAUCCAGCCCCUGAACCGUGUGUGGACCGCGACUUCAGUCCACGCAGCUCCCAUGAGCUGCCAUCGCCCCACGGUCCAUGGUGGACCGCGCAAGCUCUGGGCCUGGGCGCCCCGUGCACGUUGGGCCAGCCCACGCGUGCGCCCGCACUGGGCCUGCCUGCACGGGCCCGCACUGGGCUCGCCUGCGCACUGGACCGUGCGUGCCUGCAUGGGCGUGCGUCUUCGCAGGGCUCGGCGGCGCUUCGUCGGUACCUGCCAGCCCACCGCCGGCCGUCGCCGCC
rnacentral:lncRNA from 1 species